rnacentral:rRNA from 1 species
CCAAGGAGUCUAACAUGUGCGCAAGUCAUUGAGUUUUACGAAACUUAAAGGCGAAAUGAAAGUAAAAGCUACCCUAGGUAGCCUAGGUGUGAUCCAAUUUAUUUUGGCGCAACACCGUCCGGUCAUAAUUGCUUUGCAAUGUGGCUGAGAAAGAGCGUACACGUUGGGACCCGAAAGAUGGUGAACUAUGCCUGAGCAGGAUGAAGCCAGAGGAAACUCUGGUGGAGGUCCGUCGCGGUUCUGACGUGCAAAUCGAUCGUCAAACUUGGGUAUAGGGGCGAAAGACUAAUCGAACCAUCUA